rnacentral:rRNA from 1 species
AUUGAACGCUGGCGGCAGGCCUAACACAUGCAAGUCGAGCGAGAGGCGGACGGGGGAGUAAUGUCUGGGAAAAUGCCUGAUGGAGGGGGAUAAAUACUGGAAACGGUAGCUACUACCGCAUACCAUCAGAUGUGCCCAGAUGGGAUUAGCUAGUAGGUGGGGUGACGGCGCACCUAGGAGACGAUCCCUAGCUGGUCUGUGAGGAUGACCAGCGACAAUGGAACGGAGACACGGUCCAGACUCCUACGGAAGGCAGCAGUGGGGAAUAUUGCACAAUGGGCGCAAGCCUGAUGCAGCCAUGCCGCGGGUGUGAAGAAGGCCUUCGGGUUGUAAAGCACUUUCAGCGGGGAGGCGUUACCCGCAGAAGAAGCACCGGCUAACUCCGUGCCAGCAGCCGCGGUAAUUC